UACAGAGGUCUCAAGCGUUAUUCGGAAUUAUUGGGCGUAAAGGGCGCGUAGGCGGCUUUGCAAGUGACGGGUGAAAUCCCUCGGCUUAACCGAGGAACUGCCUGUCAAACUGCGUGGCUUGAGACCGGGAGAGGUGAGUGGAAUUCCCAGUGUAGCGGUGAAAUGCGUAGAUAUUGGGAGGAACACCAGUGGCGAAGGCGGCUCACUGGACCGGUACUGACGCUGAUGCGCGAAAGCGUGGGGAGCAAACAGG
rnacentral:rRNA from 1 species